AUGCUUGCUUCGGCAGCACAUAUACUAAAAAUUUGAAUGAUACAGAGAAGAUUAGUGUGACCCUUGCGCAAGGAUGACACACAAAUUCGUGAAGCGUUCCAUAUUUUU